GAUGAACGCUGGCGGCGUGCCUAAUACAUGCAAGUCGAGCGAACAGACGAGGAGCUUGCUCCUCUGACGUUAGCGGCGGACGGGUGAGUAACACGUGGAUAACCUACCUAUAAGACUGGGAUAACUUCGGGAAACCGGAGCUAAUACCGGAUAAUAUAUUGAACCGCAUGGGUCAAUAGUGAAAGACGGUUUUGCUGUCACUUAUAGAUGGAUCCGCGCCGCAUUAGCUAGUUGGUAAGGUAACGGCUUACCAAGGCAACGAUGCGUAGCCGACCUGAGAGGGUGAUCGGCCACACUGGAACUGAGACACGGUCCAGACUCCUACGGGAGGCAGCAGUAGGGAAUCUUCCGCAAUGGGCGAAAGCCUGACGGAGCAACGCCGCGUGAGUGAUGAAGGUCUUCGGAUCGUAAAACUCUGUUAUUAGGAAAGAACAAAUGUGUAAGUAAAUAUGCACGUCUGGACGGUACCUAAUCAGAAGGCCACGGCAAACUACGG
rnacentral:rRNA from 1 species